rnacentral:rRNA from 2 species
GGAUUCCCCUAGUAACGGCGAGUGAAGCGGGAUGAGCUCAAAUUUAAAAUCUGGCUGGUUUACUAGUCCGAAUUGUAGUUUAUAGAAGCGUUUUCGGUGGCAGCCUGGGUAUAAAUCCUUUGGAAUAGGGUAUCAUAGAGGGUGAGAAUCCCGUCUUUGACUCAGUGCAUGCUACUAUGUGAUACGUUUUCAAAGAGUCGAGUUGUUUGGGAAUGCAGCUCAAAAUGGGUGGUAAAUUUCAUCUAAAGCUAAAUAUUGGCGAGAGACCGAUAGCGAACAAGUACCGUGAGGGAAAGAUGAAAAGAACUUUGAAAAGAGAGUUAAACAGUGCGUGAAAUUGUUGAAAGGGAAACGUUUGACACCAGUUAUGCGGGUGGAAAAUCAGUCUUUUGCAAUGGGGAGUUGUGGGCGUUCAGACCGCAAGGCUGGCGUUUGCUUCAUCUUUGUUGUAAGUGAUGCACUUUUUCAUUUGCAGGUCAACAUCAGUUUGCUUUGCUGGACAAAACCCCAAGGGAAGGUGGCAGCUUAGGCUGUGUUAUAGCCCUGGGGCGAUACAGUGGAGUGGACUGAGGUUUCGCAGUGUGUGCUCUCGGGCAAGGCUGACUGGGUGCUAUGGGAUCGUUCGGCGUACAAUGCAUGCAUUUUGCGUCGUGUCUUUUUCAUACUCGCUCAACUCGGCUCUUCCACACUUAGGAUGUUGACUUAAUGGUUUUAAACGACCCGUCUUGAAACACGGACC